rnacentral:SRP_RNA from 1 species
GCCACAUGCCUGUAGUCCCUGCUACUCGGGAGGCUGAGGUGGGAGGAUCACUUGAGCCCAGGAGUUCUGGGCUGUAAUGCACUUAUGUCAAUCAGGUGUCCGCACUAAGUUCGGCAUCAAUAUGGUGACCUCCCGGGAGCGGGGGACCACCAGGUUGCCUAAGGAGGGGUGAACCGGCCCAGGUCAGAAACCGAGCAGGUCAAAACUCCCGUGCUGAUCAGUAGUGGGAUUGCGCCUGUGAAAAGCCACUGCACUCCAGCCCGGGCAACAUAGCGAGACCCCGUCUCA